GGGGUCUUAGCUCAGUUGGUAGAGCGCCUGCUUUGCAAGCAGGAUGUCGGGAGUUCGACUCUCCCAGACUCCACCA
rnacentral:tRNA from 1 species